rnacentral:rRNA from 1 species
GACGAACGCUGGCGGCGUGCUUAACACAUGCAAGUCGAACGGAAAGGCCCUGCUUUUGUGGGUUGCUCGAGUGGCGAACGGGUGAGUAACACGUGAGUAACCUGCCCUUGACUUUGGGAUAACUUCAGGAAACUGGGGCUAUUACCGGAUAGGAGCUCCUGCUGCAUGGUGGGGGUUGGAAAGUUUCGGCGGUUGUGGAUGGACUCGCGGCUUAUCAGCUUGUUGGUGGGGUAGUGGCUUACCAAGGCUUUGACGGGUAGCCGGCCUGAGAGGGUGACCGGCCACAUUGGGACUGAGAUACGGCCCAGACUGCUACGGGAGGCAGCAGUGGGGAAUAUUGCACAAUGGGGGGAAGCCUGAUGAAGCAACGCCGCGUGCGGGAUGACGGCCUUCGGGUUGUAAACCGCUUUCGCCUGUGACGAAGCGUGAGUGACGGUAAUGGGUAAAGAAGCACCGGCUAACUACGUG